rnacentral:lncRNA from 1 species
GUUGUAGGUCAACCCCAGUAUCGCGUUGCCAUACCUCCAAAAUCAUGUCGCUGUCAAGCCUCCCUUGGAGGUCUUGAGAAUUUUGUAUUGCAAAAACGGUUUGAAAUGUCUGCUGGCUCCCAGCAGCAUCAAGCAGCAUCAAGUGUGGCCGACAGUCUGCGAUUUAUAUUGAUUGAAAUUGAAAGUGGAUUACGCUGGUACACGUUCUAAACCGCUCUGGUGACAAACACACUUUUUUCUCUUGUCUCCAUUCGUCCACAUGGCUUCUGGCUGCGCUUUGCUACUACUGAAAAAACAUGAAGAUUGUCCAUUAUUUUAUUUUUGUAAGGACCCAAAAAACUGAGGCAGUGGGAGAACCUAUUCAACACUGUCAGUCAUCAUAAUCAUCAGGAGGUGAAAUGCAAAACUGACCUUGGAUCAUAAACUCUGGGACUACGACAUCUCUAUCUGUAUUUCAAAGAGGUUCAGAAGCAGCAGGG